rnacentral:lncRNA from 1 species
GGGACAUGCAAAUGAGCGCCCGGUGCACGUCGGGUAAGAGACCGCCUCUGGAGUCCUGGGUUGGGCGGGGAGUUGUCUCAGCAGUCGGCUCUCCAGGCACGCUGGGAGGCUCGCCUUUCUCUGACAUCUGUGGGGGAGCUUGGGAAAUGUGUGGCUGGCUGCUGAGUCUCCAGAGCCCCGAGCCCAUCACAUGUCCCCACCCCACCCCCAUUAAAAUAUGGAACUUGUUACCAACAUCUCACUGUGACGUAGAGCCCUGGGCGGGACAGGAGUUCGCCCGGCCGGCCAGGUGAUGGGCGCGGUGCUGCGGGUGCGUCCACGGGCUCUGGGUGCACCACGACAGUGGGGUACAGCCUAUGCCGGUGGCGCCUGGGACCCAGCAACUUGGCUGGACGACCACGCCCUUCCAGUCUCUCCGGGUGGCAGGUCGCAGGUGACACCCGCCGGUGCACUUUUUGCGCAGGCGCCGGUUGGGUCCAGGACCCAGGCUCUGGGACCAAGAGCCGCACCCGUUCACAGGUGUCUGGCAGGCGCUAGCCUGUUGCCUGGUAACCAAACAUCCGGAACACAGAUGGAAGGGCGCAAGCCCACCUGCUUGGCCUGCGAGGGGAAAUUUGAGGAUGUACACCGUUCACGUUGGAGUAGGACGGCCGAACCACUCUUGUGCUCCCUUCUGUCUCCCUGCGUAUCAAAUGACAUCUGUGCUCGAUGUGUCAGCCCCGUUAACGACUCAAACGUGUACUCGCAGGAAAUAGUUAUUGCAAUUUUAAACAACAGCAGAGCCGAUGCUGUUCGUUCAAGUCCUAACUCCGUGAGCCGUAAAACGAGGGACAAAGUUUCAGCCCAAGUUGACAACUGAAAACAAGGAAAGAGCCACAUUUCUCUGUUUUGCCCAUUACUGCAACAACUGUUUCAAGAGAGAAACAGAUUACUGGCCAGUGUCUUUAGAAUUUUCCUCUUUCUACACAAAACAAGGUGAACAGGUUUGUGCAGAUACUUAAUGAGCAUAUCUCUCUGGUGGUUUUGGUUUUUGUUCUUUUGGGGUUUUGUUUGAGGGGGUGUUUUGUUUUCAGAGUCAGUAUCAUGUCUGCUAUGCAUGAAGCUUGAGAGUGUAGGAUUUCACAAAGGCAGUUAGUAGAUACAGAGAGUUACCCUUUUACAACAUUUCAAAAGUAACCAUAGACUAAAUCUUAUGAUUAUUGCUUCUGUUCUGUUUCGAUUUGGGUUAUUCAAAUUAAUGUUAAACUUUUAUGUGUGCAGCCUGUCCUGAAAGCAUUUGGUUUUUGCUUGGUGCAAAUGCAUUAUUGCAUUAUUUUAUCUGCCUGUGUUCCUUUCUCAUGAACCCCUCAGGAGCAGCACCCUACUCAGAGACA